GACAGAGGCCCCGAGCGUUAGGCGGAAUCACUGGGCUUAAAGCGUGUGUAGGCGGAUCGUUAAGUGUCUUGUGAAAUCCCACGGCUCACCCGUGGAACUGCUGGGCAUACUGGCGAUCUUGGGCCGUUCAGGGGCGACUGGAACAAGCGGUGGAGCGGUGAAAUGCGUAGAUAUCGCUUGGAACGCCGGAAGGUGAAAACAGGUCGCUGGGGACGCGCCGACGCUGAGACACGAAA
rnacentral:rRNA from 1 species